UCUGGAUCACGUAAAAGUUAUCUCAAAAUUGUAUGAUAUUGGAACGUUUGCCUACGUUUGCCCCUAGGAGCGCUGGUCCAACUGCAUACAAAUUUCAGUUAAUUUUUGCGCUAUCGA
rnacentral:pre_miRNA from 9 species